rnacentral:rRNA from 1 species
CUACGGGCCGCAGCAGUGAGGAAUAUUGCACAAUGGGGGGAACCCUGAUGCAGCAACGCCGCGUGGAGGAUGACGCAUUUCGGUGUGUAAACUCCUUUUAUAUGUCAAGAAAAUGACGGUAGCAUAUGAAUAAGCACCGGCUAACUCCGUGCCAGCAGCCGCGGUAAUACGGAGGGUGCAAGCGUUACUCGGAAUCAUUGGGCGUAAAGGACGCGUAGGCGGGUUGGAAAGUCAGGUGUGAAAUCCUACAGCUUAACUGUAGAACUGCACUUGAAACUUCUAAUCUAGGGUAUGGGAGGGGGAGAUGGAAUUAGUGGUGUAGGGGUAAAAUCCGUAGAUAUCACUAGGAAUACCUAAAGCGAAGGCGAUCUCCUGGAACAUUACUGACGCUAAGGCGUGAAAGCGUGGGGAGCAAACAGGAUUAGAUACCCUCGUAGUC